UACAGAGGUCCCAAGCGUUGUUCGGAUUCACUGGGCGUAAAGGGUGCGUAGGUGGUGAGGUAAGUCGGAUGUGAAAGCUCGGAGCUCAACUCCGAAAUGGCAUUGGAAACUACCUUGCUCGAGGGAUGGAGGGGGGACUGGAAUUCUCGGUGUAGCAGUGAAAUGCGUAGAUAUCGUGAGGAACACCAGAGGCGAAGGCGGCUACCUGGACAAUUGCUGACGCUCAGGCACGAAAGCGUGGGGAGCAAAAGGG
rnacentral:rRNA from 1 species